rnacentral:rRNA from 1 species
AACGAACGCUGGCGGCAUGCCUAACACAUGCAAGUCGAACGAGACCUUCGGGUCUAGUGGCGCACGGGUGCGUAACGCGUGGGAACCUGCCCUUAGGUUCGGAAUAACUCCCCGAAAGGGGUGCUAAUACCGGAUAAUGUCUUCGGACCAAAGAUUUAUCGCCUUUGGAUGGGCCCGCGUUGGAUUAGCUAGUUGGUAGGGUAAAAGCCUACCAAGGCGACGAUCCAUAGCUGGUCUGAGAGGAUGAUCAGCCACACUGGGACUGAGACACGGCCCAGACUCCUACGGGAGGCAGCAGUGGGUAAUGUUGGACAAUGGGCGAAAGCCUGAUCCAGCAAUGCCGCGUGAGUGAUGAAGGCCUUAGGGUUGUAAAGCUCUUUUACCCGGGAUGAUAAUGACAGUACCGGGAGAAUAAGCUCCGGCUAACUCCGUG